CUCUUAUCGAGAGUCGGGCGAGGGAUUGGCCUUUUGACCCCGACAGCAACCGACCGUAAUUCCAUUGCGAAAUGGGGCGCAGCAUGAUUCAAGCGCCUAUGCAGGGCACGGUGCUAAUUCCAUCAGACUUAUUUCUGAGAGAUAAGAG
rnacentral:ncRNA from 1 species